rnacentral:tRNA from 1 species
GCGGCUGUAGUCUAACGGUAGGACAGAAGCUUCCCAAGCUUCUAACGCGGGUCCGACUCCCGCCAGCCGCA